rnacentral:rRNA from 2 species
GUGAGAUGUUGGGUUAAAGUCCCGCAACCGAGCGCAACCCUUGUCGUCAGUAGCCAGCAGUAAGAUGGGCACUCUGACGAGACAGCCGGAGAUAAUCCGGAGGAAGGUGGGGAUGACGUCAAAUCAUCAUGCCCCUUAUGAUUUGGGCUACACACGUGCUACAAUGGCGUAAACAAAGUGAAGACAAAACCGCGAGGUCAAGACAAAUCAACAAAAUAACGUCUCAGUUCGGAUUGUAGUCUGCAACUCGACUAUAUGAAGCUGGAAUCGCUAGUAAUCGCAGAUCAGAAUGCUGCGGUGAAUACGUUCCCGGUCUUGUACACACCGCCCGGUCGACGCGGCCG